UACGUAGGUGGCAAGCGUUGUCCGGAUUUAUUGGGUUUAAAGGGUGCGUAGGGGGUCUAUUAAGUCAGUGCUGAAAUAUCCCGGCUUAACCGGGAGGGUGGCAUUGAUACUGAUGGACUUGAGUAAAGUUGAGGUAGGCGGAAUUGACGGUGUAGCGGUGAAAUGCUUAGAUAUCGUAAGGAAGACCAGUGGCGAAGGCGGGUCUCUGGACAGUUCCUGACGCUGAGGCACGAAGGCCAGGGGAGCAAACGGG
rnacentral:rRNA from 1 species